rnacentral:rRNA from 1 species
UGAGGAAUAUUGGUCAAUGGACGCAAGUCUGAACCAGCCAUGCCGCGUGCAGGAUGACGGCUCUAUGAGUUGUAAACUGCUUUUGUACGAGGGUAAACGCAGAUACGUGUAUCUGUCUGAAAGUAUCGUACGAAUAGGAUCGGCUAACUCCGUGCC